CCUACGGGCGGCAGCAGUGAGGAAUAUUGGUCAAUGGGCGCGAGCCUGAACCAGCCAAGUAGCGUGAAGGAUGAAUGCCCUACGGGUUGUAAACUUCUUUUAUAAAGGAAUAAAGUGAGGCACGUGUGCCGUUUUGCAUGUACUGUAUGAAUAAGGAUCGGCUAACUCCGUGCCAGCAGCCGCGGUAAUACGGAGGAUCCGAGCGUUAUCCGGAUUUAUUGGGUUUAAAGGGAGCGUAGAUGGGUUGUUAAGUCAGUUGUGAAAGUUUGCGGCUCAACCGUAAAAUUGCAAUUGAUACUGGCCGUCUUGAGUACAGUUGAGGUAGGCGGAAUUCGUGGUGUAGCGGUGAAAUGCUUAGAUAUCACGAAGAACUCCGAUUGCGAAGGCAGCUUACUAAACUGCCACUGACAUUGAUGCUCGAAGGUGUGGGUAUCAAACAGGAUUAGAUACCCGUGUAGUC
rnacentral:rRNA from 1 species